UCUAGUCUAGCAUUACUGAGUAAUAUGGAGGAGACGUGGUCAACAUUUACUCCGUCGUCUGGAAUAUAGUUGCUAACUUGUUUCUAAUAAACAAACGAGCAUGGACGGGUAGGUCUGAAUGUCAGCUGAAGAUCGAGGGCGGGCGACCGAUACAACUCCCACGUACGCACCAUCUCUCUGAUCUGUUCCUCUUUCUCAAAUUCAAGAUUCCAUUCCAGACUACUCCUAGAGACCCUUCACGAAGGCAAUGUCUCUCACACCUUUGAUGUUUAGGUCACUGCUGAGGCUGCUCACAUCGCUGAUUGGAGAGCCUGCGUCUUCAAUCUCGACCUUACUGUACUACAGCCGUCUUCUUCCUCAGAAUAUCGUUCUGGAGAGACUGGUUCGCCAUGAUUUGCUCGAUGACGAAAACUAUCUCUUCCAUUUUCUUAUUAACUUCCUCAGAUGCUUCUGGUAGUUAUAUAAUCAGAUGUUGCCUGAAUCCGUACCUUGCUGAGAUUUGACUCGAUCGUCUGUUUGAUGGUCUCCGGUCUCCUCCAUAUAUGGAUUUAGCAAACUGAGAUAUUGGUGGGUUCUCAAUUUUUGACCUUUUUUUUCAUACAAUUAAACUUUUGCAUAAUCAUUUGAUGGAAUCGUUACUUUGCUAAUUUAUGAGUAUAUUGAUGUUAGAUUUCAAUUCACAAUGAAUAAAGUUUUUUUUUCAGACAA